GACGAACGCUGGCGGCGCGCUUAACACAUGCAAGUCGAGCGAAGCGGCGGACGGGUGAGUAACACGUGAGUAACCUGCCUUAGACAUUGGGAUAGCCUCGGGAAACCGGGAUUAAUACCAAAUGGUCUAAGAUGGACUCGCGUCCCAUUAGCUAGUUGGUGGGUAACGGCCCACCAAGGCGACGAUGGGUAGCCGGCCUUGGAGGUGGAACGGCCACAUUGGAGAUGAGAAACGGGCCAAACUCUACGGGAGGCAGCAGUGGUGAAUAUUGCACAAUGGCGUGAACUCUGAUGCAUCGACGCCGCGUGAACGAAGAAGGCUUUCGAGUCGGAAAGUUCUUUUAUAUGGGAAGCGGUACCAUAAGAAAAAGCCCCGGCUAACUACGUGCCAGCAGCCGCGGUAAUAC
rnacentral:rRNA from 1 species